AUGCGCAGUCAAAUGGUGGGGGUGAAAGUUUUCGUUGACAUUUCCAGCAGUAUUCCUUCACAGUUCUCGGGUAAUUAACGAUUUAUGACGAUUUAUUGGAACCUAUAAAUUGUGUAUAAUUUGGACGGGGAGAAUACGUGAAAAACAGUAACUAGAAAGAAAAACAGGAGGAGGAAAGAUAUUUAUGGUUGCAGGGAAGAGAAGCGAACUGAUGGAAAAAACAGAACUGUCCGUUCACGACACAUAUUUUGCAUAUAAGGGUUUUAAUACCGGAACCAAAAAAUAUGUAUCUGCAUGCAAGGGCCCUCGAUAUAAAGGUCCUCUAAUAUUCGUCCCUGAACAUCGUCUCAUCGACUUCGCAGCACCGAUCACAUGGAACGUUCUGUUUACAUUCUGUGCCAGUCAACUCGUUUGAACGUAGUACAGUUCUAGAAGAGUCUUUUGGCGUGUGUAACAGCAUCAAGGGUCCGUUUAUGGUUGGACCUACGAUGAAAGUCACGGGAGCAUUGGAUCUGAUCUAAUAUCCUUACAACAUUGGCAUCACCUCUCUUUGGUUUGUUUAUGAUGGAGCUGCGGCAAUAGUCCAAGUUGAGUCAUUCAAGGUUUCGCAAAGAUAAGUGAGUCUGAAGAACAAGUAUUUUACUAUAUUCAAGUUCCACAAUAUGGUGUAUCGAAAAAUAUGUACGAGUUGCUCUGACCGUUGCUCCAACAUAAACAUUCUUAUAUGUAUGUAGAAUGUAUAAAACAGUUGAAUGUAUUUCCACGCUUCUCUCUCUUCA